CCGACGGUGAGAGGCGAAAGCUGGGGGCACGAACCGGAUUAGAUACCCGGGUAGUCCCAGCCGUAAACGAUGCUCGCUAGGUGUCUGGGAUGGUGCGACCGUUUCAGGUGCCGCAGGGAAGCCGUGAAGCGAGCCACCUGGGAAGUACGGCCGCAAGGCUGAAACUUAAAGGAAUUGGCGGGGGAGCACUACAACGGGUGGAGCCUGCGGUUUAAUGGACUCAACGCCGGAAAACUCACCUGGGGCG
rnacentral:rRNA from 1 species